AAAUCCUGAUAGACCGUCAGUCUUGUUUCUUCUACAUGAAGGUGUCGAGGACUUACAGGCUCGGGAUGAACGCUUUGCAGGACGAGUCCAGUGGGACAAAGACGUCCUCAGAGAAGGACGACUCAGAUUUUACAUCUCCAGACUCCAGACUAAUGACUCUGGGCUGUACUUGUGUGAUGUGAUUACAAGUUAUGGGAAGAACUUUAAGCGAUGUCACCUCAAUGUCACUGCAUUGAAGGAUCUCCCUAAACCUGAGACGACGAGUAAUACGAGUCUGAGAGGAGAUCCUCUGGGAAGAAUCGGCCUCUACUGUGCACUGGGAUUAGCAGCAGCAGCUCUUC